rnacentral:rRNA from 1 species
CAACCCUGAUCCAGCCAUGCCGCGUGAUCGAUGAAGGCCUUAGGGUUGUAAAGAUCUUUCAGCUGGGAAGAUAAUGACGGUACCAGCAGAAGAAGCCCCGGCUAACUCCGUGCCAGCAGCCGCGGUAAUACGGAGGGGGCUAGCGUUGUUCGGAAUUACUGGGCGUAAAGCGCACGUAGGCGGACCAGUCAGUUGGGGGUGAAAUCCCGGGGCUCAACCCCGGAACUGCCUCCAAAACUGCUGGUCUGGAGGUCGAGAGAGGCGAGUGGAAUUCCGAGUGUAGAGGUGAAAUUCGUAGAUAUUCGGAGGAACACCAGUGGCGAAGGCGGCUCGCUGGCUCGAUACUGACGCUGAGGUGCGAAAGCGUGGGGAGCGAACAGGAUUAGAUACCCUGGUAGUCCACGCCGUAAACUAUGAGAGCUAGACGUCGGGCGGCUUGCCGUUCGGUGUCGCAGCUAACGCAUUAAGCUCUCCGCCUGGGGAGUACGGCCGCAAGGUUA